UACGUAGGGGGCAAGCGUUGUCCGGAUUUAUUGGGCGUAAAGAGCGUGUAGGCGGCCGUACAGGUCAGCUGUGAAAACUCGAGGCUCAACCUCGAGACGUCGGUUGAAACCGUAUGGCUAGAGUCCGGAAGAGGAGAGUGGAAUUCCCGGUGUAGCGGUGAAAUGCGCAGAUAUCGGGAAGAACACCCGUGGCGAAGGCGGAUCUCGUGGCCGA
rnacentral:rRNA from 1 species